rnacentral:rRNA from 1 species
UGAGGAAUAUUGGUCAAUGGGCGAAAGCCUGACGCAGCAACGCCGCGUGAGUGAUGAAGGCUUUCGGGUCGUAAAGCUCUGUCAAGGGGAAAGAAGUGUAUUGUGGUUAAUACCCAUGAUGCUUGACGGUACCCCUAAAGGAAGCACCGGCUAACUCCGUGCCAGCAGCCGCGGUAAUACGGAGGAUCCAAGCGUUAUCCGGAUUUAUUGGGUUUAAAGGGUGUGCAGGCGGACUAAUAAGUCAGUGGUGAAAUCUACAUGCUUAACAUGUAAUGUGCCAUUGAUACUGUUAGACUAGUAUGCAAAUGACGUAGCUGGAAUGUGUUAUGUAGCGGUGAAAUGCUUAGAUAUAACACAGAACACCGAUCGUGAAGACAGGUUACGAAUUUGUUAUAGACGCUCAUGCACGAAAGCGUGGGGAUCAAACA